UACGUAGGUGGCAAGCGUUGUCCGGAUUUACUGGGUGUAAAGGGCGUGUAGCCGGGCUGACAAGUCAGAUGUGAAAUUCCGGGGCUCAACCCCGGACCUGCAUUUGAAACUGUAGGUCUUGAGUAUCGGAGAGGCAGGCGGAAUUCCUAGUGUAGCGGUGAAAUGCGUAGAUAUUAGGAGGAACACCAGUGGCGAAGGCGGCCUGCUGGACGACAACUGACGGUGAGGCGCGAAAGCGUGGGGAGCAAACAGG
rnacentral:rRNA from 1 species